AGGCGAAAGCAGCGUAUUGUGUUCAGAAGCAGUAUUCUGCCAGCCUCUGAAGGGUUUUCCGUAGACCUCAUCUGAACUAGGCGAAAGCCGAACGAAAACGGAACAA
rnacentral:sRNA from 22 species